CCGUAUGGUGGCCGAGUAGACGGCGAGUUGUAGCUCGGGUUGGGAAUUGUGCCCCCCAACCGA
rnacentral:tRNA from 1 species